rnacentral:tRNA from 1 species
GGAGAGAUGUCCGAGUGGACGAAGGAGCACGCCUGGAGAGCGUGUAGGCGUUAACAGCGCCUCGGGGGUUCGAAUCCCCCUCUCUCCGCCA